rnacentral:rRNA from 1 species
GAUGAACGCUGGCGGCGUGCCUAAUACAUGCAAGUCGAGCGAACUGAUUAGAAGCUUGCUUCUAUGACGUUAGCGGCGGACGGGUGAGUAACACGUGGGCAACCUGCCUGUAAGACUGGGAUAACUUCGGGAACCCGAAGCUAAUACCGGAUAGGACAUUCUCCUUCAUGGGAGUUGAUUGAAAGAUGGUUUCGGCUAUCACUUACAGAUGGGCCCGCGGUGCAUUAGCUAGUUGGUGAGGUAACGGCUCACCAAGGCAACGGUGCAUAGCCGACCUGAGAGGGUGAUCGGCCACACUGGGACUGAGACACGGCCCAGACUCCUACGGGAGGCAGCAGUAGGGAAUCUUCCGCAAUGGACGAAAGUCUGACGGAGCAACGCCGCGUGAGUGAUGAAGGCUUUCGGGUCGUAAAACUCUGUUGUUAGGGAAGAACAAGUACAAGAGUAACUGCUCGUACCUUGACGGUACCUAACCAGAAAGCCACGGCUAACUACGUGCCAGCAGCCGCAGUAACAC